rnacentral:lncRNA from 1 species
AAUAUUUUUUUAACCUACAGAUUUGCUGGUAAUAUUAGAACUCAGCGAAAUUCCCAAUCCAAUGGGAAAAGACAAGAGUGGUACAAGUUGAAGUCUGGGAUAUAUUCUGUGAGUGGGAGAGCUGUGGAGGGUGUCAAAACACAUUGUGAGAAGAACUUCUUUUUCAGAGGCUUUGUUAACCAAGGACCAGCUGCUGGUUAUGAUGCAGCUCCUUUUUGCUCCAUUCCGCCUGGCCAAAUAGGUGUGCCAAGGAUUUGGUCCCCACAAACAAUGAAGUAGCAAGAUGGAGAAGUAAAGAACGGAUGAGAAUACAAGACUUUCUGCCAGGCAGACAGACUCUGCUCUUUUCUCCCCUUGACAGCUGGGCCUGGAAUCUAAUCUCCUGCCCUGGGUAAUAACCAGCACCUGUCCCCAGCUCAGUCAUCUUAAGCAUUGAUUCCAGCAAGAGGACUCCCUUGGCAUCUGUGGGUCAGAUUAAUCACUUGAGGGAGGGAGAAGGAAGGGGGGCAUGUGCUGCCUUGGAGAUUUUGUACCAUAUGUCGGCUUCUUUAUUUGCCGGCCUUAGAACUGCAAGAACUCUAUGGAUCUUGAACUUGGCCAAGGCUUGAACUAGACUCUGGGAGAUGGGCCUGCGAUCAGUUUCACAUGAUAUAGCUAUACUACUCUGGAUCCAAUUUAAUUGAUUCAAUUCCAUAGGAUGUAGCCAGGGCAGCUAAAGUGGGAUCGUAGUGCUCGAACUGUGCAGUGUGGAAGAGCCUGGGAUGAAGUGUUUGAUUUGUAUGGAAGGACUACAUCAGUGGUUCUCAACCUGGGGUUCCCAGAUGUUUAUUUAUUUGCCCCAUUAAUACCCCACCUUUCUCACCCCGAAGGGGACUCAAGGCGGCUGUUUUUGGCCUACAACUCCCAGAACUCCCAGCCAGUUUACUAGCUGUUAGGAUUUCUGGGCACUGAAGAUCAAAAACAUCUGGAGGUUGAGAACCAUUGGACUAAAUGCUUCUGAAGCAAACAGCAUU